AAUACCGCAUAACAACUUGGACCGCAUGGUCCGAGUUUGAAAGAUGGCUUCGGCUAUCACUUUUGGAUGGUCCCGCGGCGUAUUAGCUAGAUGGUGGGGUAACGGCUCACCAUGGCAAUGAUACGUAGCCGACCUGAGAGGGUAAUCGGCCACAUUGGGACUGAGACACGGCCCAAACUCCUACGGGAGGCAGCAGUAGGGAAUCUUCCACAAUGGACGAAAGUCUGAUGGAGCAACGCCGCGUGAGUGAAGAAGGGUUUCGGCUCGUAAAACUCUGUUGUUAAAGAAGAACAUAUCUGAGAGUAACUGUUCAGGUAUUGACGGUAUUUAACCAGAAAGCCACGGCUAACUACGUGCCAGCAGCCGCGGUAAUACGUAGGUGGCAAGCGUUGUCCGGAUUUAUUGGGCGUAAAGCGAGCGCAGGCGGUUUUUUAAGUCUGAUGUGAAAGCCUUCGGCUCAACCGAAGAAGUGCAUCGGAAACUGGGAAACUUGAGUGCAGAAGAGGACAGUGGAACUCCAUGUGUAGCGGUGAAAUGCGUAGAUAUAUGGAAGAACACCAGUGGCGAAGGCGGCUGUCUGGUCUGUAACUGACGCUGAGGCUCGAAAGUAUGGGUAGCAAACAGGAUUAGAUACCCUGGUAGUCCAUACCGUAAACGAUGAAUGCUAAGUGUUGGAGGGUUUCCGCCCUUCAGUGCUGCAGCUAACGCAUUAAGCAUUCCGCCUGGGGAGUACGGCCGCAAGGCUGAAACUCAAAGGAAUUGACGGGGGCCCGCACAAGCGGUGGAGCAUGUGGUUUAAUUCGAAGCUACGCGAAGAACCUUACCAGGUCUUGACAUACUAUGCAAAUCUAAGAGAUUAGACGUUCCCUUCGGGGACAUGGAUACAGGUGGUGCAUGGUUGUCGUCAGCUCGUGUCGUGAGAUGUUGGGUUAAGUCCCGCAACGAGCGCAACCCUUAUUAUCAGUUGCCAGCAUUAAGUUGGGCACUCUGGUGAGACUGCCGGUGACAAACCGGAGGAAGGUGGGGAUGACGUCAAAUCAUCAUGCCCCUUAUGACCUGGGCUACACACGUGCUACAAUGGAUGGUACAACGAGUUGCGAACUCGCGAGAGUAAGCUAAUCUCUUAAAGCCAUUCUCAGUUCGGAUUGUAGGCUGCAACUCGCCUACAUGAAGUCGGAAUCGCUAGUAAUCGCGGAUCAGCAUGCCGCGGUGAAUACGUUCCCGGGCCUUGUACACACCGCCCGUCACACCAUGAGAGUUUGUAACACCCAAAGUCGGUGGGGUAACCUUUUAGGAACCAGCCGCCUAAGGUGGGACAGAUGAUUAGGGUGAAGUCGUAACAAGGUAGCCGUAGGAGAACCUGCGGCUGGAUCACCU
rnacentral:rRNA from 2 species